rnacentral:rRNA from 1 species
AGAAGUGAGAAUGCCGGUGUGAGUAGCGAAAGACGGGUGAGAAUCCCGUCCACCGAUUGACUAAGGUUUCCAGAGGAAGGCUCGUCCGCUCUGGGUUAGUCGGGUCCUAAGCUGAGGCCGACAGGCGUAGGCGAUGGAUAACAGGUUGAUAUUCCUGUACCACCUAUAAUCGUUUUAAUCGAUGGGGGGACGCAGUAGGAUAGGCGAAGCGUGCGAUUGGAUUGCACGUCUAAGCAGUAAGGCUGAGUAUUAGGCAAAUCCGGUACUCGUUAAGGCUGA